rnacentral:lncRNA from 1 species
AGGCACCGGCUCUGCGAGCGGCGCACCGGUUCCCCCGGCCCCGCCAGCCCCUAAGUGCUGCUGGAGCUGAAAUUGGGCAGCGCUGGCCAAGGCUACUCAGUAACAGCCUUGAUCAUAAAUGAUUAACUGCACACCAGGAGAAUAAGAGCUGGGUCUUUCCAGGCGCAGCCUUUUAUCCCUGGUAUCCUCGCAGCCAAACACGCUGAGCCAGCGUUGCGUUUGGUCAUGAAAUGUUGCCUUACGCUUCUGCGCGGGCUGUGAAAUGCUGCUGUGUGUGCUGACAUACUACAAGGUAGGGACGAAGGUUGCUGUGCCCUAGCUACUGUUUCUGCACCAACUCAUUCGUUUGUGGAUUUAUUUUAUCAGCACCAAGAUAAAAGACCGUUGUCUUUGCAGGAGAUAUCGCCUCUUGGAGAGGAUAGAAAAAUAAGAACAGAAACUGGAGUCAUUUACAGUGGUGAGAACUUUUAUAUUUCUCUUUGCUAAUCAUUAUGUGACUGGCAUGUGACGAAGUAAGCUUGGAAACUCGUAAGUCACACUUUCAACCUUUCCUUUACAACAGAGCUCAUUGCUGAGCUGUCUUGCUAAAGCUGAUCAGUGUCACAUGCUACAGUGAUUGCAGGAAAAAGUGACAAAUGCAACAAUUGAGAAAAUAGUGCUUUCCAAAUUCCUUAUCCUGCAUCUUUGUCAUCUUACAAAGACCAAAGAGAUUAGUGGAUAAUUG